rnacentral:lncRNA from 1 species
AGGUUUUUCUGUUUGACUUUAACGAGAAGCAGGAGCUUACUGAAAGACCCAGGCAGUGUUUGCCGUAUGCUGUAGUUUCAUUUGUUCCUGCCAGCAGUGCCAUUCUGACUGUGCCUACAAACCUACCACUCUCAGCUUCAGCGCUACCUAUUGGCCAAGUGCAUGACCAUUUUAAGGCAUGUACUGUGGCAAAGAGAAGAGGAAAAGGAGACACUGCCACCAUUACAUUCAAACAUUUUGGCACGCCGGGCUGCUGUGAGACAGAUUAUACACCUCAGAAUCCAGAAGUAGAAGCUCCACUUAAAAAGAGCGAUAUGCAAAACACUCAGUCAUUCAACCCAAAACAGCACCGGAUUGCUGCCAGUGAGGACUCCGAAUAUUCCAGCAGUUCAGGGCCAGUUAUGGAUCACACUGCUGUCUCCCAAAGCUUGCUGGGAAAGAAAGCAU